rnacentral:rRNA from 1 species
UCGUUGUAGCAAUACGAUGGAAAGUUUAGUGGCGAACGGGUGCUUAACACGUGGGCAACCUGCCAGGAAGUGGGGGAUAGCUCGCCGAAAGGCGAAUUAAUACCGCAUGUGAUUAGAGAGGACAUCCUUUCGAAAUUAAAGUCGGGGCAACCUGACGCUUCUUGUGGGGCCCGCGGCCUAUCAGCUAGUUGGUGAGGUAACGGCCCACCAAGGCUUUGACGGGUAGCUGGUCUGAGAGGACGACCAGCCACACUGGGACUGAGACACGGCCCAGACACCUACGGGUGGCAGCAGUCGAGAAUUUUUGACAAUGGGGGAAACCCUGAUCGAGCGACGCCGCGUGGAGGAUGAAGGUCUUCGGAUUGUAAACUCCUGUCAUUGGGGAACAAUGCACAGAUAUUAACUGUAUUUGUGUUGAUAGUACCCGAAGAGGAAGAGACGGCUAACUCUGUGCCAGCAGCCGCGGUAAUACAGAGGUCUCAAGCGUUGUUCGGAUUCAUUGGGCGUAAAGGGUGCGUAGGCGGCGCGGUAAGUCGGGUGUGAAAUCUUGGAGCUUAACUCCGAAACUGCAUUCGAUACUGCCGUGCUUGAGGACUGGAGAGGAGACUGGAAUUCUCGGUGUAGCA